rnacentral:lncRNA from 1 species
AUCUUUAUUCUUUUGGAAAGAAGAAAGAAUCACAAAGUUGUUGAGGUUAAUUCACUUAGAUGUUAGUGACACUUGUCCACAACAUAAUACUACUCAUGUUGGAUGACGUUCACCGAAGAUCACUCUCGGUUGGACUAUAGUUUAUCUUGAAUAAACACAAGUCCGAAUACUUUGCAAAAGGUUUCAAAGAAUUCAAGAAAUGUAAGUUGAUGAGUAAGGCGUCUAAAGUAUUUACAUCCUUAGAUUUGAUCCAAGGAAUGGUAACACUUUAGAAUAGUUUUUCUUGAAAGAUAUCAAGGAAAAUAGCAUCAUAAGAUAAUGUAUUUCUCCAUUAGGAGAAGAACGAACUCGAAUAAGAUUUAGUUCGUUAGAUGUUAUCUAUUACCCAUAUAUAGGAUAUAUACUUCUAAAACAUUAUGAUUGUCAAUGAGAAGAUCUUCCAAUAUUUUCAUGACUCCAUAAGAUGUAGUUGGAAAGAAAGACAAAUCUUAAGCAUGUUAAGAUUUGGGGUUGUGUGCUAAUGAGCAAUAUUUGUUUGAUAACAAUCUUGUGGGAUAUCCUUAAAUUAACUUUUGGAUAUCACUUCUAUAAACCAACUAACAAAUGUUGUUUUGUUGGGUAGUUCAUUGUAAUCCUACAAUGUGAUUUGCCUAAGAUCAAAUGAAGAAGAUAGAACUCAAAAGAAUAGGUUCUUUGUGAGACAAGAAAGUAAUCAACAAAUAUAACAACCUAGUUCCUAUACCAAAAGCUCCAAGGUAGUCGAGAAGGAUUUAUAAACCGUCUCAGUUGAAUGGUUUGAACUUUAUGACUAUGUCAUAGAGUUACACCUCUUACUUCGAAAGAAAUAAGAAUGAAAAUCCUUAUGACUACAUUGAGUGCAUAUACGAUAUAUACUCAAGGAAAUGGUAAAGUACCAUUUAACCCGAAAUAAUGAAACCUUCAUAAGCUAAUUGGUAGC